rnacentral:rRNA from 1 species
AUUGAACGCUGGCGGCAUGCCUUACACAUGCAAGCCGAACGGCAGCACGGGGCAACCUGGUGGCGAGUGGCGAACGGGUGAGUAAUGCAUCGGAACGUACCUUUCAGUGGGGGAUAACGUAGCGAAAGUUACGCUAAUACCGCAUAUUCUGUUAGCAGGAAAGCAGGGGAUCGCAAGACCUUGCGCUGAUUGACCGGCCGAUGUCAGAUUAGGUAGUUGGUGAGGUAAAGGCUCACCAAGGCGACGAUCUGUAGCGGGUCUGAGAGGAUGAUCCGCCACACUGGAACUGAGACACGGUCCAGACUCCUACGGGAGGCAGCAGUGGGGAAUAUUGGACAAGGGGGGCAACCCUGAUCCAGCCAUGCCGCGUGAGUGAAGAAGGCCUUCGGGUUGUAAAGCUCUUUCGGCCGGGAAGAAGUCGCACGGGCUAAUACCCUGUGUGGAUGACGGUACCGGAAUAAGAAGCACCGGCUAACUACGUGCCAGCCGCCGCAGUAACAC